UUCGCCAUGCUUUAGUUAUUUACGUUUAUCACUUUACCGUCGAAAAUCUUUCCGUUUGUAAUCGACUUAGCCCUUGGGGUGUUUAAUUUUAAUAUAAGCAUUUGGUGUUAAAAAAAAAAUUAUAUUUUUGAGUUCCGCGUCGCAAAAUCUUGCAAAAUGCUAUAUAGCGUUGAUUUAAAGUUACGAUAGAGUAAAACAUCCCAACUGGCUACUUUUAAUAGCAUUUUGUGAAUUCGUGCUACCGUGAUAUGCUACCAAUAUCCAAAUUUCUUGCAGUCUACAUUUGCUUUUCUGAGAGUUUUUUUAUUGUUUUGUGUUGUAUGUAAGCUUGUGACAUACCUAAGGAGGGCCCAUCAAGGAUAUCUCUCAGCUGUCCUAUCAGCCGCAAGCGUAUCAUACUUCCUGUGAAGGGUCAUGGCUGCAAGCAUCUUCAGUGUUUUGAUUACCGGAACUAUAUCAAACUAAAUACGAGGAUACCGUCAUGGUGCUGUCCACUUUGCUAUCAGUAUGUCUGCUAUACUGACAUCCGUUUAGAUCAAACCAUGAUAAAGGCAAAUAUAUUCUAGAAGAGGUGGGAAGUAAUGUGACAGACGUGGCUAUCUCUCCUGAUGGAUCAUGGAAAGUUGUAACAGAGAACGAUGAGAAUGUUGAGAACUUGAGUCCAGCUGUUUUGGAUCUUGCAAGAGAUGAGAAUGAAAUGGAAGCAUCCGGAAACACUCAGAUUCCUAUGGUUAACCAGUCUUCUUCUGAUUCAAUGGAGGUACUGCCACAGUUGCCACAAACUUUUAAUAAUGAUGGGCAGCAGCAACAGUUCAUGAAUUUUCCAGUGUGUCAUCAGCAAGAGAAGUCAUACACAUGCCUGGUGCUCACUCUUCUCAAUAUCAAGGGUUACAUGUUUCUUCCCUUGGACUUUCUCUUGGAAGAGACUCUGAUUUGAUGGAGAGGUGGAACCACCACAACUAUGGAAAUUGCAUACCUCAAACUCAGUUUCAUCUUCCCACAAGGAGCUUGUCCCCUGUGCAGGGAAGACCAAUCCCAUCUUCCAUUACAUCUCCCCAAACUUUAGCUUUCAGCUAUGGAAGGAACUCCGACCAGAGACACAUGCAAAGACAUAAUCCUGGUGGGGCUGGGUAACAGUUGUCAUCGCGUGAGUUCAUGAACAUGACUCCUGAUAACUCUGCAAACAUGCGAUGCGCCCACAGAUUCGGAUGAUGCGAGGCAGCAUAACGCCCGGUUCCACAAGGUAUGACCACCUGAUCAUUCAACCUACCCAGCGGCCGGUACAGUCACAAUCACAAGCUCAAACAGUUCCUCCACCUCAGCCAACAGCUUACGAUUACGUCCCGGUUCAGUCACAAGCUCAAACGUUUUUGGCGAACCCAAGCUAUCCUGUUGGUACUAAUGAAACGCAAGCUGGGAGCAGUUUAUUGCCCUUGGAGGAAGGUGUUCUUUUGGGCUGAUAUCCAAGAGGUUUGUGUUCAGGUACGUUUACAGGAAGGUGUUCUUUUGGGCUGAUAUACACCUAAUUUAAGCAUAACUUAAAAAGACUAGACAUAAUGAUUGAGUUUGUCUAAUGCAGUGGGCCAAGGAAGUCCAUAUCUCAAUAUUCAUAUGAGGUCGCAGUUCUUUUCCUAUCAUGUUUAUCAAAAAUCUCAAUAUCAUGCAAUUAAAAUCAAAUUAAAAGUUAAAAUGAUAAAGAGUUUGUAACAGUUGUCAAAGUGUCUAUUUUUGUAAAAUUAAAGUCUAAAAGUACGUCUAACCAC